rnacentral:rRNA from 1 species
GACGAACGCUGGCGGCGUGCCUAAUACAUGCAAGUCGUGCGGACCUUUUAAAAGCUUGCUUUUAAAAGGUUAGCGGCGGACGGGUGAGUAACACGUGGGCAACCUGCCUGUAAGAUUGGGAUAACGCCGGGAAACCGGGGCUAAUACCAGAUCGUUUUUUCCUCCGCAUGGAGGAAAAAGGAAAGGCGGCUUCGGCUGCCACUUACAGAUGGGCCCGCGGCGCAUUAGCUAGUUGGCGGGGUAACGGCCUACCAAGGCAACGAUGCGUAGCCGACCUGAGAGGGUGAUCGGCCACAUUGGGACUGAGACACGGCCCAAACUCCUACGGGAGGCAGCAGUAGGGAAUCUUCCGCAAUGGACGAAAGUCUGACGGAGCAACGCCGCGUGAGUGAAGAAGGCCUUCGGGUCGUAAAACUCUGUUGCCGGGGAAGAACAAGUGCCGUUCGAACAGGGCGGCGCCUUGACGGUACCCGGCCAGAAAGCCACGGCUAACUACGUG